GGACUACACGGGUAUCUAAUCCUGUUUGCUCCCCUUGCUCUCGCGCCUCAGCGUCAGGUCUUAGCUAGAAAACCGCUUUCGCCACCGGUGUUCUUCCACAUAUCUACGCAUUUCACCGCUACACGUGGAAUUCCGUUUCCUCCGCCAAUCCUCAAGAUAUGUAGUUUCUCAUGCAGCUCCAAAAUUGAGUUUUGGAAUUUCACACCAGACUUACAUUCCCGCCUACGCGCCCUUUACGCCCAAUCAUUCCGAUUAAUGCUUGCACCCUCCGUAUUACCGCGGCGGCUGGCAC
rnacentral:rRNA from 1 species